rnacentral:misc_RNA from 1 species
UUUCCGUAGGUGAACCUGCGGAAGGAUCAUUAACACUGUGUGUUUUAUCGCACCCUUUAAACAAUCCAUCUCCACCUUGUGUGCAACGUUAUGAGACCCUCUAGAGUUAUCUUUUAGGUUACGGAAGGGGGAACCUCUACAACUUAGCAACAUCACCUUUAACUGAUUUGUCUGAACAUUUGUUAUCACGAAUUAACUUAAUUCGAAAAUACAACUUUCAACAACGGAUCUCUUGGCUCUC